rnacentral:snRNA from 1 species
GUGCUCGCUUUGGCAGCACAUAUACUGGAA